GACUACAUGAAGCUGGAAUCGCUGGUAAUCGCGGAUCAGAAUGCCGCGGUGAAUACGUUCCCGGGUCUUGUACACACCGCCGUCACACCAUGGGAGUCGGAAAUGCCCGAAGUCAGUGACCUAACCGAAAGGAAGGAGCUGCCGAAGGUGGAGCCGGUAACUGGGGUGAAGUCGUAACAAGGUAAC
rnacentral:rRNA from 1 species